rnacentral:rRNA from 1 species
UACAGAGGGCGCGAGCGUUGUCCGGAAUCACUGGGCGUAAAGGGCGCGUAGGCGGCCCGCUAAGUCGAACGUGAAAUCCCCGAGCUCAACUCGGGAACUGCGUCCGAUACUGGUGGGCUUGAAUCCGGGAGAGGGAUGCGGAAUUCCAGGUGUAGCGGUGAAAUGCGUAGAUAUCUGGAGGAACACCGGUGGCGAAGGCGGCAUCCUGGACCGGCAUUGACGCUGAGGCGCGAAAGCUAGGGGAGCAAACGGG